rnacentral:lncRNA from 1 species
GGUGUCCUCGGGAAACCCGAAUCAUCCACGUUUUAACUCAUACAGGAUCAACAUGGAGUUACCACAACAUUACAACAUUUGUUACAAAAAUAACUUAGAUCAAAGUGCGGAAGAUUUAUAACUUAAUUUACAAUAUAUGAUGAAGUAUAAACUUAACUAAAUUUCCAAAAGGUGUAUAGAGUAGCGGAAGCAUCUUAGGUGAAGCUUCUAAGGUAGAAGAGGUGGAUAAAUCAUGUCGCGCCCACCGACAUGACCUCCAUUAGCAGUCUAAGUCAGCACCUGCAACAGGGGUUAUAAAACCCUGAGUACAAAAGUACUCAACAAGACUUAACCGACUAGAAAAGAGGUGAAGACUCAGGUAUGCAGGCUAUAGGGAUUCAAGGUAAAGCUUUAUCAAGAUAAAGCAUUUCUUUUGCAUAAAAGCUUACUAAGAGUAAAACCUACUUUCAAGUUUUAACUCAAGAUCAUCAUUUAUGACUAACCAAAACUAUUAUCAAACUUUCAUAAGCAUACCACAUCUUUCUUAUACCAAAGAUCCAUUAAUUACUACGCUGAUGGGGUGAGGAUUGAGGCUCCAUAUCCGAGGAAACACGGCGAUUCGAAUCGAUUAAACCCAGUUGGGGAUUCAGUACCACACGACAUAUGUAGAACUUAAUCUUGCAUAUGUCAACCUUUUCUAUAGAUCCUCCCAUACAAGAACGGAUCCAGCGUCACCCGAGAGUACAGUACACCACCAUCCUACAGCCAAUCUAGAUGUUUCCCGGUCAUCUCAGAUCCGUAAGGUGGGUACACGCUACUCUCGCCAUCUCUCCACUCCCAGUACGCGGUUAGCCGUUCUCAAGUAUCGGAAUAGCUAUAGGUAAGGCUUACCAUCGCAUGUGGGCUGUACUCAAAGGUCUCAAUCACAGCAGGCCAACAACGGAACGGUCCUUAAUUGACACAGUUGGAGACACUACUUUAAGACUCCAUUCUUAAAGCAAGUCCACCGACCGGUCUCAAAUUGAAACAUUAUUGGCCAUAAAAGUAUACCACAACAACCCUUCAAACUUUCUCAUUUGAAAACCUAUCUAAUAAGCAGGGCUAAGCAUACUAAGUAUUUUCAUAAAACAAGUAUCAAGGUUAAUAUUGAAAUCAUCAAGGUAGAUAAUGCAGCAAAUAGGAUUCACUCAACUCCUAUUCACCUAAUGCAUCAUAUUAACUCAAGUGAUAUAAAUAACUUUAUGAAAAUACAAGGAUAGGGUUUAAUGUCCGGGGCUUGCCUUGGCCGGAAGGGAAGUCCGACAACUCAGCAAAACCAGAUGGAUCCACAAACUCACUGAGGAUCAGAUUCCUCCAGAGCGUAGUCUACACGUAGAGGUGCAUAUGCAUGAUCAAUGAGAUGUUCAUGACAUGAUAAAGACAGGUUACAAGUUCUUGGAUGAUAACAACAAACAUAACUACCUCGAGUACAACUUACCUUCACGGUAUAGAAACAAACUAACUUAGUUAUCAAAACAUAGAUUACUACUAAGCAAAUUUUAUCAUCUUCAUUAAGCAAGGUUGUGUAGAUCUCAUGCCAAGUAACCACUAGUUGUCAAUCAAUCCCAAAGACCAAUCAAAACCUAAAAUGAUUAGGUUUUCUAUUUAUCUUAAUCAAUUCUUAAUUAAAUAUUAAUGGCAGUAAUUAAGUAUUAACAUCAAACAAUAAUUAAGUGCCCAAAAGCACUCAAAUUCUAAUUUAGAAAUUAAGCUACUCAUUAUUAAAGUAGAGGCUAGCUAAAAACAAUAAACUCUAUUUGCACACAUAACCAGGACAGCAGCAUAUACACAACUUCAUUCAACCAUAAUUAGAGAUCCAAGCAUCCAAUAAAGGUGAUAUUAGACUUUCUGAAAAGCUUAGAUAAUUUUCUACAACUUUGUUAUUAUCUUCGAGAACUGAUUUAAUAGAUAAGAUGGCCAAACAGCAUGAAUAAACAAUUCUGUCCAGACCUUGGACAGAAUCAGACAUUAAGCUUUAUACAUCUAUAACCAGAGUUCUAGAUCACCAAAAUUCAUGAUCCAUAACAUUUUGGAAAGCUUAUGAAAAUUACUACCAUUCAUCUUUUAUCAUGAAAGCAUGAUUCAUAAGUUUAGUAGGUCGAAAUUGCACAACUACAGAAACUGAUCCAGGAUUUGACAGAAAGAAACCAUUUCUGAAACUUAAAUUUAAACAGGCAUAACUCAGAAACUAUAAGGCCAAAUGCCACCAAAAUUUAACACCAGCUAGAUACAUGAAUUCUAUACAACUUUGUUAUAGACAAGUUUCAUAUCCAACAUUAUUUACCUAGAGCAAUUCAUCAUGCUCUAAAAACUAUCGAGAAACCACUAACAAUUAAAUUAUAGAGAAAUCAUAUUUCAUUUAUGUUCCAAACUUGAACCUGGGCAAAACCCAGCUCACCAACAGUUGAAAUACAUCAAAGGGAUACUAGAAAACAUCAUGGCCAUCCCUAAAUAAAUACCUUUCAUGUCUUUAUUAAUUUAUUUAGAUAAAUAGACAAAGUAAUAACCAUAUAUCAAAAGUACACAGUAAAAUCUGAGAAAACUUCAGAAGCUCAUAUAUUCUCUCCAAAGUCUACUGUAUAAAUUUCAUGCCAUUUGGUUAAGUAUAGCAAUUUCCAUAAAAAAGAUAAAUUUCCAUCACAAGGAAGCAUGUAACAACAAGAUAAAUAAGAAACUUGACAUUUUCUACAAACACAUAGCUAAAUUAUGUACCUAUAUGAUAUAACAACCUCAUAUAAAGGUACAGAAACCAUAUUUUACAUUUAUUUAUUUUUAGUUUAAUUUUAAACUAUUUAAUAAGCACUAAACAAGAUAAAUUAAUAACUUAACCAUAUAUCAUCUACUGAACAUGAAAUUUUUAUUGCAACACUCACAUAACAUCAUGAGAACACCAUAAAAAUUUCAGGGCAAUAGGAUCUACACAGAAUAAGAUAUGAAUUUCUCCCUUUUAAACAUAAUUAAAAGGCAUAAAUCAUAACCAAUUAUUUUACUACAAAACAUGGUCAGUUUCAUAUUUUUAAUAAAAACUAGACAUCUCAAGGAGCACAAUAAAAUUUGGUUCACCAAAAUUGGAGUUACCAAACUCCAGAUAUGAAUUUUCAAAGAUUCAACAAAACAUCUACAAACAAGUCCUUAUAGCACUAUUCACCUGAGUCACAGUCUGUGCAAUUAGACCCCUGGAGAACUUCAAAUUGUCGCGCGAGGUCCCUGUCGCGAACUGAAAACAGAGGAGCUCGUCGGAGAUCGCAGUUUCGGCGUUGGGGUGCUCAUCGGCGGCAGAGGAGCAGCGGGGGAGUUCACCUGGACUCACGCACACCCUCUGGUUCCCUCUACUUGGCCCGAGGUGGUCUGUGGAGACAUGGCCACGUGAACAGCGGCACUAGCGGAGCUCUGGUCGGGGCUAGGGGAAAAGGUGGCGCUCCGGCCGCCGGGAAGGCGAGGGGAAGAGUUGGGGAGCAUCAGGGACUCAGCACGACUUCGUCAAGCUGCUCAGAAAUGGUGGAGAAGCACAGAGGAGGGCUGGCCAUGGUGGCGGGGUUGCAGUGGCGUUUCUGCCGGCUCCGGAGAGAAAGAAAGCCGGCCAGGGAAUUGGAGAUGGUUGAGGAUGCCUUCGACUCGUCCAUAUCACGGUGACUUCAACCAAGCAGGCAGCUGCGUGUCAGCCAUGCUCGAGGUGACGUGGGGGAGCAACGACACCGGGCAGGGUCGCCG